rnacentral:misc_RNA from 1 species
UGACCAACUCACGCUCCGCGUGGUCUUGGGGUCCGCUGCCUCGGCGGCCCCUAAACGCAGUGGCGGUGCCGUGCGGCUCUCAGCGUAGUAAUACUCCUCGCUUCAGGGUCCGGACGGUGCUGGCCAGCAACCCCAACUUCUUUA